UGGAGAUGUGCCACAUUACAAACACGACAAGCACCGUCAAUCAUCGUACGGACGUAGACCAGCUGAGUACUACUUACGCUGGGUUACUCCACACCAUCAAAAACACCAUUUCGCAACGAAACAGAAUAGGUAUACAGUAUAGAUAGUGCAGUGCGGUACGGCAGUGAUUAGUGCACAAUAGUUCGAGAAAAAUAAAAAAAAAAAAAUAAAUUAAAUUAAACAACUAUGAAUUUAAUGAUUAUAGGCGUAUAAACUCAACAAUGCUAUUCCACAGAAAACAGACACAUUGACGAAAAAACGAUAAUCUAUUUCCCUUGAAAAAGGCCAAAACCCCUGGCCGAAACGUCGGGCAGUAGAAAACACCCGUUUUGAAUCCGUGACAGACUGCGUAGCCGAAACCCAACCCAGAAAUUAAAAAU